rnacentral:rRNA from 1 species
GACGAACGCUGGCGGCGUGCCUAAUACAUGCAAGUCGAGCGGAACUGGGGGAGCUUGCUCCUUCCAGUUUAGCGGCGGACGGGUGAGUAACACGUGGGCAACCUGCCCUGCAGAUCGGGAUAACUCCAGGAUACCGGGUCUAAGACCCAAUAUAUUGGCGCCUUUCCUGAGGCGCCACGGAAAGACGGUCUCGGCUGUCGCUGCAGCAUUGGACCGCGGCGCAUUAGCUAGUUGGGGGGGUAACGGCCCACCAAGGCGACGAUGCGUAGCCGACCUGGGAGGGUGAUCGGCCACACUGGGACUGAGACACGGCCCAGACUCCUACGGGAGGCAGCAGUAGGGAAUCUUCCGCAAUGGACGCAAGACUGACGGAGCAACGCCGCGUGAGUGACGAAGGUUUUCGGAUCGUAAAACUCUGUUGUGAGGGAAGAACACGUACCAACUAACUAUUGGUACCUUGACGGUACCUCACCAGAAAGCCACGGCUAACUACGUGCCAGCCGCCGCGGUAA